rnacentral:snRNA from 1 species
UUGCUUAGGCAGCACACAAACUAAAAUUGGAGCUACAGAAAAAUUAGCAUGGCCCCUGCACACAGAAAAGAUGCAAAUUCAUGAAGCAUUCCAUAUUUUU